AAUGUCCUACGGGGCGCAGCAGUCGAGAAUCAUUCACAAUGGGGGAAACCCUGAUGGUGCGACGCCGCGUGGGGGAAUGAAGGUCUACGGAUUGUAAACCCCUGUCAUGUGGGAGCAAAGUAAAAAGAUAGUACCACAAGAGGAAGAGACGGCUAACACUGUGCCAGCAGCCGCGGUAAUACAGAGGUCUCAAGCGUUGUUCGGAAUCACUGGGCGUAAAGCGUGCGGAGGCU
rnacentral:rRNA from 1 species